UACGGGGGGAGCAAGCGUUGUUCGGAUUUACUGGGCGUAAAGGGCGCGUAGGCGGCAACUCAAGUCAGCUGUGAAAUCUCCGAGCUUAACUCGGAACGGUCAGCUGAUACUGUUUUGCUAGAGUGCAGAAGAGGAAAGCGGAAUUCCACGUGUAGCGGUGAAAUGCGUAGAGAUGUGGAGGAACACCAGUGGCGAAGGCGGCUUUCUGGUCUGUAACUGACGCUGAGGCGCGAAAGCGUGGGGAGCAAACAGG
rnacentral:rRNA from 1 species